GUCAGACGCUUAACCGACUAGGCCACCCAGGCGCCCCUGGGCUGUGCUUUAAAGAAUGAUUAUAGUUUUCUCAGGUAGGGAAGGGCAACAAACAUUAUCGACAGACUUAGGGACCAGAGUAAGCAAAGUAUAUUAUGGGGGCAGGACAUUUAUGUCAGAAUCUUGUCAUUUCCCCUGAAUAUCCAUUCUCUUCCUAAGAACCCUGAUGAUUUUUACAUAGGCACAUGGUAGCCUGGAAUAAAUUUUCCUGCCUUCCUUGCGGCAGACAAGGUCUGUGUCCCUUGUGACACAAGCAGAGGUGGUAGGUGUCGAUUCCUUAAGAACCUCUUUAACGUAUAGCCAGUAUCCAUCCUGUACCUGUUUCUUCCCCCUCCCCCUCCCUCCUGGCUGGCACACAGACCCCAUUCCUAGAAUUUGCACAGCCAUCUUCGAUCAUGUUAAGAAUGGGUCAGUGACAGGAUCCCAGAAGCCUGGGUUCCUGGCACCCAGAAGCCCCACUGUCAGGAUUUGUUUUACAUGAGAAACAAGCUUCCGUGUUAUUUAAGUUUCUAGAACUUGGCCUGUCUCUGAAGCUAACCAUAACUGAUAUAUAUUCUAUGAUUUAAUUUAUGUUGAAAUCAAUCACGCUGAGGCUGAAAAGCUGAAUGGCGGCAGUGUGUGAUUCCCCACUAAGGAAUUUGAACUUUAUCCUGUUGGCAGUGGGGAACAAAAGACUUCUGAGCCAGAAGAUGAGAACUGUGCUUUGGCAAAGCGAUUCCUCUGGCAGUGGUUCGGUGGACAGUUGGGAGAAGGGAGGCACUAAAAGAAGAGGUGAAAUCAGAAAUUCCUAGGCUUCUGAAUUUCAGACAAGCAAAAUCCCCAGAAAUUUCAAAGGCCAGCAUGGGGAUUACCAACAUCUAAGAGGCCAGCGGAGAAAGGAGACUGUGACAGAACCAUGGCAAAAGAGGGUCUGACUUUAACUGGAUCAUCUCUUCUGUAUUUUACAAGCACAGGAGGCUGUUUUUCAUUUUCACGCAGGAUAAUCUCUCUGUGGAGUUGGGACAGCUCUGCUGGCCCACGAAAUAAACAAAAUCCUUUCUAAGCAGCUGGAGGAGGAACCUUCGGCUCCAGGAGACUGAAAGAAGACAAACAGGCAUUGCCUCCAAAACAAAAGCUUGGGCACACCUGACGCCCCGAGGCUUCAGGACUCCAGAGCUCCCUGUUUGUCAUCUUCUGGGAACACCACCUACAGCCACUUAUAUUAUGUUGGCGAUGGCUUUGUGUCUCGGGAGAUGAGAUAAAUAAGCGCACUUUCCUCAGAGAAAGACUUGGGGCCCAGAGGAAAAAGGGUCUUGCAUUCAUCGUGCGUGGCAGGCAUGCCUGUCCUUGCGCCAGAAACUCCUGGCUGCACCUGCCAGCCUCAGGCUUCUUGGUAGGCACCAUGCCCUGGGUAGGACACUGGGCCCGGCAGGAGCUGGACAUGGUAGAGAAGAGAGACGUAGGCCUGGCACAGCAUCUGCCUGCAUUUGCCGGGGAACACAGCAGAGCUGACCCGAAGAAGAGGAAGAUGCCAAGCGAGGUGAAGUGACUUGCUCAAGGUCACACAGCAGGCAGCAGAUCGGACACCAGAAGCCAGGUCCCCUGAUCCUGUCUGGUCACUACACCAGUCCUGAUUUUUUUUAUUUUUUGGCUCCACAAGUGGCCUUAUGCUCCCUUUUUCUCUCUGGACUCCUUGAUUUUGUUCAGUGAUCAUUAACAUGUCAAUCAGAAGAGAGUUCAGAUUUCCCUGUGUCUGUAGCUCAUGGAGAGGCAGGAAAACAGGAGAAUUAAGAGGCCAUUAAAGUAGUUCAGUAAGAGAUCAUUCAUUUGUUCACUUAGUAAAUAUUUUGAACACCCUUCAUGUGAAGAGCACUGUCACGGGUGCUAGGGAUACAGUAGGAGAGAGAGAAAAAAGUUGGCCCUGGAUACCAGGGAGCUUACGCUCUAGUGGAGGCGGAAGAACGUGAACAAGUGAAUAAACAAGGCAAUUUCAGAGUAUGAUCGGUGCUGUGAAAAAAUAAAGUAAAAUACGGUGGUA